rnacentral:rRNA from 1 species
AUACGUAGGGGGCGAGCGUUGUCCGGAAUGAUUGGGCGUAAAGGGCGCGUAGGCGGCCCGGUAAGUCUGGAGUGAAAGUCCUGUUUUUAAGAUGGGAAUUGCUUUGGAUACUGUCGGGCUUGAGUGCAGGAGAGGUAAGUGGAAUUCCCAGUGUAGCGGUGAAAUGCGUAGAGAUUGGGAGGAACACCAGUGGCGAAGGCGACUUACUGGACUGUAACUGACGCUGAGGCGCGAAAGUGUGGGGAGCAAACAGGAUUAGAUACCCUGGUAGUCCACACUGUAAACGAUGAAUGCUAGGUGUAGGGGGUAUCGACCCCUUCUGUGCCGCAGUCAACACAAUAAGUAUUCCGCCUGGGGAGUACGUUCGCAAGAAUGAAACUCAAAGGAAUUGACGGGG